rnacentral:rRNA from 1 species
UUUGAAGAGCUUGCUCAGAUAUGACGAUGGACAUUGCAAAGAGUGGCGAACGGGUGAGUAACACGUGGGAAACCUACCUCUUAGCAGGGGAUAACAUUUGGAAACAGAUGCUAAUACCGUAUAACAAUGGCAACCGCAUGGUUGCUAUUUAAAAGAUGGUUCUGCUAUCACUAAGAGAUGGUCCCGCGGUGCAUUAGUUAGUUGGUGAGGUAAUGGCUCACCAAGGCGAUGAUGCAUAGCCGAGUUGAGAGACUGAUCGGCCACAAUGGGACUGAGACACGGCCCAUACUCCUACGGGAGGCAGCAGUAGGGAAUCUUCCACAAUGGGCGAAAGCCUGAUGGAGCAACGCCGCGUGUGUGAUGAAGGGUUUCGGCUCGUAAAACACUGUUGUAAGAGAAGAAUGACAUUGAGAGUAACUGUUCAAUGUGUGACGGUAUCUUACCAGAAAGGAACGGCUAAAUACGUGCCAGC